UAAGGGAAAUCUUCUUCUCCACGCGGUAGAAUGAGAACGUGUCCCCCUCCACAUUUUCCCCUCCGCUACUCCUCCACGUUGCAGCUAGUCUUCUCUUCCAUCGCCACUUCUCAAGUUUGCCCUGCAACGCGUGGAAGCCAUGCCCAAAGCUUCAGAGAAAUACAGCCUUGCCCAACUCUGCCUUCUCCUUCCUAUUUAAACCCAAACGAAACCUCCUUCUCCACACAUCUUCUUCAGAAGCAAGCAGACGUAAGAAAUCAAAGAACCCACCAGCAUGUCAACCACAUGGAAGGACGAAAGUGUGGGCUAUCGGCCAGGUGACCUUCACCUAGGAAAGUUCCCAACCUGGUACAGCUCUCUCCUGUGACGACAAGAUGAGCCCAUAGUCGUCCAUUGGGAGGAGCCAAACGUGCGCCGCUCAUGGUUAAAAGUGGAAUUGGUCCAAGGGAGGUUAAAACUUACACGCUAUAUAAAUAAUACAUGCAUUUGAUCUAAUUAUAUUUUAUUUUACUGUUUAUUUAUUUGUAGAAGUAUUUGAACUCUAUUUAGAAUUCCUGAAAAGAAAAUUACACUUUUA